GACAGAGGGUGCAAACGUUGUUCGGAAUUAUUGGGCGUAAAGAGCUCGUAGGCGGUUUGUCGCGUCUGCUGUGAAAACCCGAGGCUCAACCUCGGGCCUGCAGUGGGUACGGGCAGACUAGAGUGCGGUAGGGGAGAUUGGAAUUCCUGGUGUAGCGGUGGAAUGCGCAGAUAUCAGGAGGAACACCAAUGGCGAAGGCAGAUCUCUGGGCCGUAACUGACGCUGAGGAGCGAAAGCAUGGGGAGCGAACAGG
rnacentral:rRNA from 1 species